rnacentral:rRNA from 1 species
UACCAGCACCCCGAGUGGUCGGGACGAUUAUUGGGCCUAAAGCAUCCGUAGCCGGUUCUACAAGUCUUCCGUUAAAUCCACCUGCUUAACAGAUGGGCUGCGGAGGAUACUAUAGAGCUAGGAGGCGGGAGAGGCAAGCGGUACUUAGUGGGUAGGGGUAAAAUCCGUUGAUCCAUUGAAGACCACCAGUGGCGAAGGCGGCUACCUGGACAAUUGCUGACGCUCAGGCACGAAAGCGUGGGGAGCAAAAGGG